UACAGAGGUCCCGAGCGUUGUUCGGAUUUAUUGGGCGUAAAGGGUGCGUAGGCGGCGGAGUAAGUUGGGUGUGAAAUCCCGGGGCUUAACCUCGGAAUGGCAUUCAAUACUGCUUCGCUCGAGUACUGGAGAGGAGGCUGGAAUUUACGGUGUAGCAGUGAAAUGCGUAGAUAUCGUAAGGAAGGCCGGUGGCGAAAGCGAGCCUCUGGACAGUUACCGACGCUGAUGCACGAAGGCCAGGGGAGCAAACGGG
rnacentral:rRNA from 1 species